rnacentral:snRNA from 1 species
ACGAGAGUAACAUUUGGUCUAUUGAAUAUUGGAAAAAUACAGAGAAGAUUAGCAUGACCCCUGCGCAAAAAUGGCACACAAAUCGAAAAAUGGUCCAUUUUUUU